CUUCCGUCGCCGAUUGUUUGGCGUACGGCUUCGGCUGUGCGUCUUAUAGAUCGGUCGGCGGGAAUCAACCUUUCUCGAAGGCCGUUCAUGCUCUUCACUGAGUGUGGACGGAAUUUCGGGACCUUUACCUUGAAUAAAUUAGAGUGUUCAAAGCAGGCAUUUUCGCUUGAAUACUAUUAGCAUGGGAUAAUAAAAUAGGACUUUGGUUCUAUUUUGUUGGUUUUUAGGACCAGAGUA
rnacentral:rRNA from 1 species